rnacentral:rRNA from 1 species
UACAGAGGUGGCAAGCGUUGUUCGGAAUUACUGGGCUUAAAGGGUGCGUAGGCGGUGCGGAAAGUUGGGUGUGAAAUCCCUCGGCUCAACCGAGGAACUGCGCCCAAAACUACCGUACUUGAGGAAGAUAGAGGUAAGCGGAACUUACGGUGGAGCGGUGAAAUGCGUUGAUAUCAUCUGGAAUACCGGAGGCGAAGGCGGCUCACUGGGAGUUUUUCUGGACGCUGAGGAACGAAAGCCAGGGUAGCGAACGGG